rnacentral:misc_RNA from 1 species
GAACGCAACUUGCGCUCUCUGGUAUUCCGGAGAGCAUGCCUGUUUGAGUAUCAUGAAAUCUCAACCAUUAGGGUUUCUUAAUGGCUUGGAAUUGGGUGUUGCCAGUCCCCUGGCUCGCCUUAAAAGAGUUAGCGUGUUUAACUUGUCUAUCUGGCGUAAUAAGUUUCGCUGGUGUCGGCUUGAGAAGUACGCUUCUAAUCGUCUUCGGACAAUUCUUGAACUCUGGUCUGAAAUCAGGUAGGGCUACCCGCUGAACUUAAG